AUUGAACGCUGGCGGCAUGCCUUACACAUGCAAGUCGAACGGCAGCGGGGGAGAAGCUUGCUUUUCCUGCCGGCGAGUGGCGAACGGGUGAGUAACACAUCGGAACGUGCCCUGUAGUGGGGGAUAACUAGUCGAAAGAUUAGCUAAUACCGCAUACGACCUGAGGGUGAAAGUGGGGGACCGCAAGGCCUCAUGCUAUAGGAGCGGCCGAUGUCUGAUUAGCUAGUUGGUGGGGUAAAGGCCUACCAAGGCGACGAUCAGUAGCUGGUCUGAGAGGACGGUCGGCCACACUGGGACUGAGACACGGCCAAGACUCCUACGGGAGGCAGCAGUGGGGAAUUUUGGACAAUGGGCGAAAGCCUGAUCCAGCAAUGCCGCGUGUGUGAAGAAGGCCUUCGGGUUGUAAAGCACUUUUGUCCGGAAAGAAAUGGCUCUGGUUAAUACCUGGGGUCGAUGACGGUACCGGAAGAAUAAGGACCGGCUAACUACGUGCCAGCAGCCGCGGUAA
rnacentral:rRNA from 1 species